rnacentral:tRNA from 1 species
GCUGGCGUAGCUCAGCUGGCAGAGCGGGGCACUCGUAAUGCCCAGGUCGGGGGUUCGAGCCCCCCCGCCAGCACCA